GACGAACGCUGGCGGCGUGCCUAAUACAUGCAAGUAGAACGCACAGUUUAUACCGUAGCUUGCUACACCAUAAACUGUGAGUUUCGAACGGGUGAGUAACGCGUAGGUAACCUGCCUGGUAGCGGGGGAUAACUAUUGGAAACGAUAGCUAAUACCGCAUAAUAUUAAUUAUUGCAUGAUAAUUGAUUGAAAGAUGCAAUUGCAUCACUACCAGAUGGACCUGCGUUGUAUUAGCUAGUAGGUGAGGUAACGGCUCACCUAGGCGACGAUACAUAGCCGACCUGAGAGGGUGAUCGGCCACACUGGGACUGAGACACGGCCCAGACUCCUACGGGAGGCAGCAGUAGGGAAUCUUCGGCAAUGGACGAAAGUCUGACCGAGCAACGCCGCGUGAGUGAAGAAGGUUUUCGGAUCGUAAAGCUCUGUUGUAAGAGAAGAACGGGUGUGAGAGUGGAAAGUUCACACUGUGACGGUAUCUUACCAGAAAGGGACGGCUAACUACGUG
rnacentral:rRNA from 1 species